rnacentral:lncRNA from 1 species
AGCUUCGCGUUUACCCCUUCCUGCGUUUCAUCUAUCAACACUAUAUCAUUUGCGAAAAGCAUACACCAAAGAAUAUCAUCUUAAAUAUUAAGUUUGUGAUCUUCGCUAGAUUGCUCCGGUCAUUAGUGUGGAUAAGUAUGUAAAUGGAUAGAGACAGGAAGCAAACACCAGAUGUAUGUGGUUCACCCAGAUUGGCUACGUCUACGGAGUAAAGGAGUUCUCAUUAAUUGUGAAGGGUUUACACAGUAUAUAGGUUCAAGCUCUCCUUUAGUGAGUACAAGUGAAUGAUUUAGUACAAAUGAUAUUAGGAAAUAUUGUGGAAGAAUAAUCUCGUAAUCACGAAACUUUUAAGCCAAUUAUUUAACAACCACUAUGCAUAAUUCUUAAAAAAAAUGAGUAUAAAAUUAACCUCUUUUGAAAAACGAACGAAGAAAGAUGAAAGCUUAAGCCAAGGAAUAUAACUAUGUUGAACUCAAUUAUUUGACAUUAAUUACACAAACCCAAUUCCAUAUAUAUAGCCAGACAGAAGCUUUAUCCUAGAGAGAGAAACAAUGCCCAAAUGAUUAUAUAAUCUCUAGACUGAGUGUGAAUUCAGAGCAUGAAGGGGAAGUGAGUUCCUUGGUUCCCACAUUGUUGAGACUAAAUCUCAAAACUUUGCCAAGCAUUACAGGAAACCAUGGAAAGAAUAAAAAUGACCACAAAGAUUAACCACAGGUGGUGUUUACAGACUAAGCUUAAAAACAACUGUCAUCUAUUAAGCAAAACUUGAACUCCUUGACAUUGCAACCGAAAAAUAACAAUUUAACUUGCACAGUAAACGAAUAUGAGUAAAGUUACAGAACUCAAUGGAUUACAUAUCCCAGUAAAAAAGCGAAACAUCAGUGUUUGGGAAGUUACCUUAUUUGAAAUGUCGGGAGCAUCAGGUGUACAUACAGGGUAGACAAUCCUUGCAAAAUUCAGGGCUUCAAAAUAAAAUAAAAAAUAAAUUCAAAAGAAAUCAAAACUAUUAAUCCUAACAAUUGUUUAGUAAAAGAUAAAACAAUCUUUCCAUCAAACAAAUUUGAGAAACAAAAAAAGGGAAAUAAAUUUAAGUUGAAUAGAGGUGACAAAUGCCUACCCAGAAAUCCAAACGAAAUCCCCAAAAAUUACGCCCCCAAAACCCUAGAAAUCACCAAAGUUGAAAACCAGCGCUACACUGGGAUCAUCCACACAGCGAUGAACUCCGAUCAUUGUCACCGAUCUCCAUCUUCUUCCAAAGCCAAAACCCUUUUAAGAAAAAGAGGGUAAUGAAUAUGAUAAAGCCAGUAAUGAAUGGAAUAACCCAAUUUCUAUCGCCAAUCACCCUUGUUGAGUGAUGAUUCACAUACUUCCUCAUAUUUGUUUAUGGGUUCCUAUCCAGCAAAAUUUCGACUUAGUACCCAAAAACUGUAUCAGCUCACGAACACAUAGAGGUUUAUCAAAUUCAAAGCAAAACCCACAUAUAUUCUGAAGAUUCUAGAGUUAAAAGAGGAGCAAGGAGGUUCGGUUACGGAACCCAAAACGCCAUUUUAAUGAGCAAAUGAAUAUCUAAACUGGGGUUAACAAUUUUCAGCAAUAAAAAACAUGUCUUUCGAUCAAAGUUGCAUAAAUUACAGAAUUUUGGGAUUAAGGAGGAACAAAAAGCCCAAAUUCCAAUCAAGAAAAAUAAAAAAAAAUUGUAUGUAAAUUUAAGCUUUACCUGUAGAUUGGCAGCAGCAAAUGCAUACUGGAUCCAACGGGAGCCACGUGAGAGAACGUUGUUUUCCUCUUAAUGUAAAGAUAUUUACCUACCAAAGUCCAGCAGCUAAUCUUCUGAAUAUGAUCAGAAGAUUACAAGAAAGGAGAACGUACUGUACACUGGCCUGCUGCUAUUUUGGAAUAUGAUCAAAUUGCAAUUCCAUCAGCAGUUGUACUUGUGAAGCUUACUAGUAUUGUGUAUCCCGAAUCCAUCUUUUGUUUGUGCUUGGAAUUGAUGUGGUGGUCGGAUUGCAGAUGGACAAUUUAUCAGUAAAG